rnacentral:rRNA from 2 species
UUUUAAUUGAAGGCUUGUAUGAAGGGUCGGACAAAGGAUAAGCUGUCUUUAAUUUUUCUUUUGAAUUUGUCUUUUAAGUGAAAAGACUUAAAUUAUUUUAAGGGACGAUAAGACCCUAUAAAGCUUUAUAUUAAUAUGUCUUUAUUUUAAUUUUUAAUGUUUACAGAGAUAAAGGUGUUAAAAUAUUAUAUUGGGGUGAUAAGAAUAAUUAAUAAACUGUUCUAAAAUAAACAAAGUUAUUUGUAAGCAUAAUAGAUCCUUUAUAUAGAUUGCAAGUUUAAGUUACUUUAGGGAUAACAGCGUUAUUUUUUUUGAGAGUUCUAAUCGAAAAAAAAGUUUGCGACCUCGAUGUUGAAUUAAAAUUUCUUUAUGGUGUAGCCGUUAUAAAAGAAAGUCUGUUCGACUUUUAAAAUUUUACGUGAUCU